rnacentral:tmRNA from 1 species
CCUCUUUUCAUCGCCGGCGGAAACACCUAUAUCAGCCUUGCCGGGGCUUGCUCCGGCUAUGGCAAUAAACGGUCGGUGUAAUAAACCUAUUGGACCCGGGGGCGGUACCCGGCGCCUCCACCAAAAACCGGUCGGUGACGACGUCUGUCGGACCGGCUUUUGAUGGGGGCGAAAUAGGAUCGACAAGGGCGUAAAGAUCGAACUUUUGCUCGGCAUGAUACCGCCGUUAUCGGGUCACAAGUGUAGUUGCAAACGACAACAACGCUAAGGGUUACGCUCUCGCUGCCUAAUGGCGGUGCGGGAAACCCGCUCUAAAGUCCUUGGGGUUAGCCCCUCAAGGCGGGGUUCGAAGGCACCUGGCAACAGAAGCCUUCACC